AGCAGUAGCCACGGUAAUACGUAGGUCCCGAGCGUUGUCCGGAUUUAUUGGGCGUAAAGGGAGCGCAGGCGGUUUAGUAAGUCUGAAGUUAAAGGCAUUGGCUCAACCAAUGUAUGCUUUGGAAACUGUUAGACUUGAGUGCAGAAGGGGAGAGUGGAAUUCCAUGUGUAGCGGUGAAAUGCGUAGAUAUAUGGAGGAACACCGGUGGCGAAAGCGGCUCUCUGGUCUGUCACUGACGCUGAGGCUCGAAGCGUGGGGAGCGAACAGGAUUAGAUACCCGUGUAGUCCCUGUCUCUUAUACAC
rnacentral:rRNA from 1 species